rnacentral:rRNA from 1 species
CGGAGGGCGCAAGCGUUGUUCGGAAUUACUGGGCGUAAAGCGUGGGCAGGUGGCCUGUUAAGUUUGCGGUGAAAUCCCGGGGCUCAACUCCGGAUAUGCCGCGAAUACUGGCGGGCUAGAGACCGGUAGAGGCAAGUGGAAUUCCAGGUGUAGCGGUGGAAUGCGUAGAUAUCUGGAAGAACACCGGUGGCGAAGGCGGCUUGCUGGGCCGGUUCUGACACUCAGCCGCGAAAGCGUGGGGAGCAAACAGGAUUAGAUACCCUGGUAGUCCACGCCGUAAACGAUGGGCACUAGAUGCCGGGUCUAUAGACGGAUUCGGUGUCGCAGCUAACGCAUUAAGUGCCCCGCCUGGGGAGUACGGCCGCAAGGCUG